UACGGAGGUGGCGAGCGUUGUCCGAAGUUACUGGGCGUAAAGCGCACGUAGGCGGCUCUUUAAGUCGGGGGUGAAAUCCUGGAGCUCAACUCCAGAACUGCCUUCGAUACUGUAGAGCUUGAGUUCGGGAGAGGUGAGUGGAACUGCGAGUGUAGAGGUGAAAUUCGUAGAUAUUCGCAAGAACACCAGUGGCGAAGGCGGCUCACUGGCCCGAUACUGACGCUGAGGUGCGAAAGCGUGGGGAGCAAACAGG
rnacentral:rRNA from 1 species